UUACUGUUGAAGAGUCCCAAACUAGGACGAAACAGCUGUCCAGUAC
rnacentral:hammerhead_ribozyme from 1 species